AAGUGGGAGGGCGCAUCUUUGGACAAGGUGAAGGAGAAAGAUGUCAACAUCCCGCCAUGUUGGUGUGGAUAUGUUUGCAAGGUGAAGGUGUCCACCGACCGAAAGAAGUGUUGGACGGAAGGGAGGAGAUAUUUUGUAUGCCCAAACUAUGCUUAUGAUCGUGCGCUUCCAACUAACGCCUAUGACCAACCACCGGUAAGCUAG
rnacentral:rRNA from 1 species